rfam:Neonectria ditissima strain R09/05 contig_21, whole genome shotgun sequence.
GGGCGAAUGGUUUAGUGGUAUAAUACUCCCUUAGCAUAAUUCGUUCUUCGCAAAUAUCUGGGAGUGGUCCAGGGUUCGAUUCCCUGUUCGUCCA